CAAGAUCGAUGCCCGGCAAUGGUGUCAAAUGCCACAAGAAGACGAAAAAGAGAGAGAGGUGGGAUCGAUGUUUACCUUGAACUCCGGUGGCAUCUCCAGCUCCAAUUUUUGAUGGACAUAGAUUUAGGAAAAUCGGCAAAAAUGAGGAAGAAAGAGAUAGAGAAAGAAGAGAGGAGGGCCAAUGUUCAUCGUGAUAUGCAUUGGAGGGGGGAGGAGG
rnacentral:lncRNA from 1 species